GAUCCUGGCUCAGGAUGAACGCUGGCGGCGUGCCUAAUACAUGCAAGUAGAACGCUGAAGCUUGGUGCUUGCACCGAGCGGAUGAGUUGCGAACGGGUGAGUAACGCGUAGGUAACCUACCUCUUAGCGGGGGAUAACUAUUGGAAACGAUAGCUAAUACCGCAUAAAAGUCGGCAUUGCAUGAGGUGUUGACUUGAAAGGUGCAACUGCAUCACUAAGAGAUGG
rnacentral:rRNA from 1 species